AAUGUGGUGCAGGCCCAGUGACGGCCUGGCUGAACUCAUGAGAGCUCUUGAGCUAGAAUGGUCUUGCCAGAGUUGAGCCAGAUGGCAAGGUCUUCUUACUCCAAAGCUACUUAGUCACUAGAUAUGGGCUGCCCAGGAGGGGCUUGAUCGUGAGCAAGGCAGCUUGCCUGAAGGGAUGGCAGCUGAAGGCUGUCUGUUGACAGACUUCUAGCAGCUGGGACAACAAGCUCUUAUUUCAGGGAGGUCUGGGUGGUGUAUCUCAGUGUCCCACACAUGAACAUUACUUUGGAAUGAGUGUUUCCACAGCACAGGAGCCCAGCAUAGGGAUGUACAGGAAAAUCUGCAGGCCUGGGUGUCAGCCCUGAGUCAGGACUCUGACUCUGUUGCUUCUUAGCUGUGGGACCAUGGAGCUUACUCUCUGGAAAGAGAUAUCGAGCAACACCCAGGUGAUUAUAAUACAUGGUGGAAUGAGGUAGUAAGUGCUGAGAGAGGUGAACAUGCUAAAGAAAAUGCUGUUUAGGUUCCAAGAAGGUGAGAACUACAGCCCCUUGGAAAAUAAGCAGAUUGCAUGAUCAAGCUGACUUGAGGGUUCUGAACAGAAGCUGACCAGUCUACUGCACAUUGUAAAGAAGUUAAAAAGCUGGACUGAAUUGCAAAAUGUACUACUCAAGGAGUCCAAAGAAUAAAAUAUGAGCAGCUUGUGGGGGUAAAGCAUUCGUAGGUAUAGUAUAGAAAAGGUCCAUGAGCAUCAUGUCAGUGUCUUUUAACUUUCCAUUGCAGUGGAAUAAUCCUUUAUGCGUUUAUGAAAAUCUUUGGAAAAGAAGCCACAUCACUGGGUGGUUCCUAUUUAUUUUCCUCUCCAGGGGCCUUUGCUGCUCUUGCUGGGUGCCUCAGUUGCUAGCUUUGUGAGUAGUAACGCCCCACUGUUCCCAGCUCCUUGCUUGCUGGGUGUGAGGACAGAGGCUAUCAUAGCAGUAAUUGCUGGAUGUUCUGUGUUUGCACAUCUGUGGUGGCCUUCUGAAUUGAGUUUCGUGCCAGAGCCAGGCAGCACCCCCCUACUCCACCCUCCCACUGCCCCUUUAUUUUCUGUGUCACACCAUUAAAGGAAAUGAGAUUAUGGCACAAAUCAUCAUUCACGUGACUCUAGCAUAGAAGGUUAGCGAGAUAUUGCAGAGAUAAUUCCAUAGCCACCAUGGCCCCUGACAAUAAUUACAAUGUGGCCACAGGGGAUCACCUUCUAAUAGGCUUUUGUUCACUCAAUUCAGAGUCUGUUGUGUGCUAGAGUUUGGAUAAUUAAAGUUGUGUCUCAGAAGCCACAUGUGGUAGCUCAUAAUUAUGUAGUCGAGUCUAACAGAAAACUGAGGUGACUGACACCCGGCCAGAGUGAAGAACAGGGGUCCUGGUGACAACGAAG
rnacentral:lncRNA from 1 species